UACGAGGGGGGCAAAUGUUGUUCGGAAUUACUGGGCGUAAAGCGCACGUAGGCGGCUUUGUAAGUUAGAGGUGAAAGCCCGGGGCUCAACUCCGGAACUGCCUUUAAGACUGCAUCGCUAGAAUUGUGGAGAGGUAAGUGGAAUUCCGAGUGUAGAGGUGAAAUUCGUAGAUAUUCGGAAGAACACCAGUGGCGAAGGCGACUUACUGGACACAUAUUGACGCUGAGGUGCGAAAGCGUGGGGAGCAAACAGG
rnacentral:rRNA from 1 species